rnacentral:misc_RNA from 1 species
AAGUCGUAACAAGGUUUCCGUAGGUGAACCUGCGGAAGGAUCAUUAGUGAAUAAACAAGUGCAGGUUGUGCUGGCCUUCUUGGGUAUGUGCACGCCUGCCAGCUUCAUUCCAUCUUCCCACCUGUGCACUCUGUGUAGAUUCUGUAUGCUAUUGUCAAGCCUUUAUUGUGCUUGGUUGAGAGGAGUUGCUUGUUUCACCAACAAGCUCUUCUUGGGCAUGCAGGUCUAUGUUUAUAUCAACACCAUAUGAAUGUUUUAGAAUGUGCUUUAGGCUUUUUGGCCUUUAAAUUAUAUACAACUUUCAACAACGGAUCUCUUGGCUCUC